rnacentral:rRNA from 1 species
CUCCUGAUAAUAACAUCAGGUAGACUCUGCCCAAUGAAUAAUUCAAUGGCCGCAGUAUUCUGACUGUGCUAAGGUAGCAUAAUAAUUUGCCUCUUAAAUAGAGGCUCGUAUGAAGGAGCUGACAUAGAAUCCCCUGUCUUAGUUGUAAAAUUUAACUUAUCUUUAAAGUCAAAAGACUUUAAAUUUUAAGGGGACGACAAGACCCUAUAAAACUUUACCUUUAAAUACAUCUACUCUAAGAAUUCUAUUAAAAUAAAAGGUUUUACUGGGGCGGUAAGAACUUAUUUACACCAUCUCUCACCCCAACACUCUCCACGAAUCUUACAAUCUUAAUUCUAAAAUUAAUAACAAGUUACUUUAGGGAUAACAGCAUAAUAUCUUCUCAGAGCCCCUAUCGCCGAAGAUGUUUGUGACCUCGAUGUUGAAUUGAAGUUCCUUUAUAGAGCAGCUUUUAUAAAAGGAAGUCUGUUCGACUUUUAAUUCUUC